UACGUAGGGUGCAAGCGUUAAUCGGAAUUACUGGGCGUAAAGCGUGCGCAGGCGGUUUUGUAAGUCUGACGUGAAAUCCCCGGGCUCAACCUGGGAAUUGCGUUGGAGACUGCAAGGCUAGAAUCUGGCAGAGGGGGGUAGAAUUCCACGUGUAGCAGUGAAAUGCGUAGAGAUCGGGAAGAACACCAAUGGCGAAAGCAACUCUGCUGG
rnacentral:rRNA from 1 species